UGGGGAAUUUUGGACAAUGGGCGAAAGCCUGAUCCAGCAAUGCCGCGUGAGUGAAGAAGGCCUUCGGGUUGUAAAGCUCUUUUGUCAGGGAAGAAACGGUGAGAGCUAAUAUCUUUUGCUAAUGACGGUACCUGAAGAAUAAGCACCGGCUAACUACGUGCCAGCAGCCGCGGUAAUACGUAGGGUGCAAGCGUUAAUCGGAAUUACUGGGCGUAAAGCGUGCGCAGGUGGUUUUGUAAGUCUGAUGUGAAAUCCCCGGGCUCAACCUGGGAAUUGCAUUGGAGACUGCAAGGCUAGAAUCUGGCAGAGGGGGGUAGAAUUCCACGUGUAGCAGUGAAAUGCGUAGAUAUGUGGAGGAACACCGAUGGCGAAGGCAGCCCCCUGGGUCAAGAUUGACGCUCAUGCACGAAAGCGUGGGGAGCAAACAGGAUUAGAUACCCUCGUAGUCCCUGAGCGGGCUGGCAAGGCGCAU
rnacentral:rRNA from 1 species